rnacentral:piRNA from 1 species
UGUGAUGCUGAGUGCCAGAAAUACUCUG